CUGGAAACAAAGAGUCCCAGCCAACUGGGACUCUCUUUCCCUUGCGCAUGCCUUGGACCCAUGCCAUGCUCUACACACAAAAAUAGAUUUUGCAUGAGAUUUUUUGGCAUGGGAAGAGAGGGUGCAGAGAGGGUGGGCGACACUCUUGAUGAGUCAUUGAUCUUAUCCUUUUUCUGAUUUAAAUUCGAUCUGAAUCAAGGAUAAGGAGAUAAGAAGGAAAGAGAUCUGUUUAGUUUGGAAAGAUGGGGGCGCCAAAUGAUUUUUUCCUUUUGUUCUUUGAGGUAUUUGUUGGCGUAAGAAACAUCUGAUUUCUUUCUCACACCAUCACACUAUUUUGAAAAAAAUGGAAUGCCCCAUAUGGUGUUGGCGUGG
rnacentral:lncRNA from 1 species